UACGAAGGGGGCUAGCGUUGCUCGGAAUCACUGGGCGUAAAGGGUGCGUAGGUGGAUAUUUAAGUCAGGGGUGAAAUCCUGGAGCUCAACUCCAGAACUGCCUUUGAUACUGAGUAUCUUGAGUUCGGGAGAGGUGAGUGGAACUGCGAGUGUAGAGGUGAAAUUCGUAGAUAUUCGCAAGAACACCAGUGGCGAAGGCGGCUCACUGGCCCGAUACUGACGCUGAGGCACGAAAGCGUGGGGAGCAAACAGG
rnacentral:rRNA from 1 species